rnacentral:rRNA from 1 species
UCAGCAUUUAGCUUGCCCUUCACCAAUCCUGGAAGCUAAGCAGGUUUAGCCUAGAUAAUAGCUGGAUGGGUGACCACUUGGGAAUAGUAGGUAUGAU